rnacentral:rRNA from 1 species
UACAGGGGGUGCAAACGUUGCUCGGAAUUAUUGGGCGUAAAGGGCUCGUAGGCGGCCAACUAAGUCCGACGUGAAAUCCCCAGGCUUAACCUGGGAACUGCGUCGGAUACUGGAUGGCUUGAAUCCGGGAGAGGGAUGCGGAAUUCCAGGUGUAGCGGUGAAAUGCGUAGAUAUCUGGAGGAACACCGGUGGCGAAGGCGGCAUCCUGGACCGGCAUUGACGCUGAGGAGCGAAAGCCAGGGGAGCAAACGGG